rnacentral:rRNA from 1 species
UACAGAGGGGCCAGCGUUAUUCGGAAUUAUUGGGCGUAAAGGGCGCGUAGGCGGCCAUGCGUGUCUUCCGUGAAAUCCCUCGGCUUAACUGAGGACGUGCGGAAGAAACUGCAAGGCUCGAGUCCGGGAGAGGGGGUGGAAUUCCCAGUGUAGCGGUGAAAUGCGUAGAUAUUGGGAGGAACACCGGUGGCGAAGGCGGCCCCUGGACCGGUACUGACGCUGAGGCGCGAAAGCGGUGGGUAGCAAACGGG